AUGACUAAUUGCAGUGGAUCUGGGACAUGUGACCAGUUAUUCACCAAAGAAAAGAACACAGAUAAGGUUGCAGAAUCCUGCCGAAGAAAAGGAUUAAUUACAGAUGAGCUGUGUGUCAUGAUAAUUAACUAUUGCGGCUUCUCUUAUUUGCCACAUUCUGGUACUUUUUCCGCUUUAGUACAUUCAAGGAAUGAGAAUUUUUAUCACAUCUCCUGCCUGCAGUCCCUGAUGGAUUUGUCGCACAUAAAUUUGCGCAGCAUACACAAAAUAUUGAGCCAUCAGCAUUUUUUUCAAUCCCUGUGCACAUUGGAACAGAUAGCAAAGUCAAGCUUGUAGUAGGGCAAAAAGGUCCAGGUAUAGAAAUAUUAAAGGGAUCAUGAGAUGUGGGGAAAGCAGAUUAAGAAAGGGUCCUAGCAUGAAGCUGACAAAAGCUAACUUUGGAAAUCUCUGAGCACAAGCUGACAGGAGGCAAAUAAAUUGAAUCCAAAUGAUCCUGAUGAGAUGACAAGAUCAUCUCUGAUCUGAUUAAGACUUGGGAUUUUCCACUCAACGCAAUGCAAGCUGUUUACUGCCAAGGUCAUAUCAGGUUGUAUGGUUUUCCACAGGAUGUAGAACUUUCAAAAGCAUCUGUGGAAAGUGGAGCCAUCAUCCUAGAAACUGCAUAAUUUCCUCCACUCAAAAGGAUUCUAUUAGCAUUACCAUUUGAUUUCUUAAGUGUCAUGGCUAGAAGUGCACCUGGCGCCACCUUGCAGUUCCUUUCUGUUUCGGUUUGCACUCCGCUCAAUUGAGAGCGGUGAGUAGUUGACCAAGAUAAAAAGUGACGAUCUUCUUUGACUUUGGAGCAUCUCAUUUUGGUGCUGCUGACAGCUCAGGUUACGACCACAGCAUCCCUUUAAUCAUCUCACUUCUAGAAUUUUUGAAAAUAAUACCUUCACCUUCAUUUCUCUAGCCCUCUUGAUAAUUGCAUAGGUGCAUAGUUCUCUCUAUUGAGUUUCUGUCUAAUCAUAAUUCCUAGGGUGGCUUCACUUUUCCUAAUUCUGAUUUUUAGAUGUGAUUUACAAAA
rnacentral:lncRNA from 1 species